GGCUGAGGUAGGAGGAUCCCUUGAGCUCUGGAGGCAGAGGCUACAGUGAGCCGAGAUCACGACACUACACUCCAGCAUGGGUGACAGAGUGAGACCCUGUCUCAAAAAAAGAAGAAAAUGCCUCCCACCCUGUAGCUCCAUCUUCAGACUCAGCCACUGAUCUCUGGGCCGUGUCAGCUGAACCUGUAGGGACAGUUUUCUGACGGGGAGACUUGAGUGGGCAGCGAUAUGGGCAGUGGCCCGUGUGGGGUCUGCAGCAUCCCAGGAUAUACCCGGAGCAUGGGCCUUGCACCAGCCUCAGCAGCACAGAUGUAUGAAGGCCCAAAGGGCUGGGGGACAAGUGUGGAGAGGCGAGCAUGUCCACUCAGACUCAGGGCCCUGCCCUCAGCACCCUAACUCCCCUGCCCUCGUCAACUCUUGAUGGUCCCACCUGCCCUCCCAAUGCUAAGCAACCAGAGGAAGCCCAUGGCCACCAAAAAGGCUUUCCUCUCCAGCUGGAUCUCCAGGAUCCUGCUUGUAUGUUACAAAUCAAAGUUUGGCCUAGGCUGGGCACAGUGGCUCAUGCCCGUAAUCCCAGCACUUUGGGAGACCUGAGGUCUGGCCAACAUGGUGAAAUCCCAUCUCUACUAAAAGUAAAAAUUAGCUGGGCAUGGUGGCACACACUUGUAGUCCCAGCUACUCGGGGGGGCUGAGUCAGGAGAUUUGCUUGAACCUGGAUGUGGAAGUUUCAAUGAGCCGAGAUAGUGCCACUGUGCUCCAGCCUGGGCGACAGUGGAGACCUUGUUUCAGUAAAAAAAAAAAAUUUCGCUUAAUAUCCCUGACUGUGCUUUUGUCUUGGGGUUUUCCUGACCACAGGUCCCUAGGCAACAGAGGAAGUGACACCCGGGGCUUCUGCUGGGCUGAGUUCUCAUCUGGCUGUGUCCAGGAUGAGCAGGUGGAAGGAUUUGGGGAGGAAAGCGAAGCCAUGGGGUCAUUUUUGAACAAGGUCUUACUCUGUCACCCAGGCUGGAGUGUAGUGGCACGAUCCUAGCUCACUGCAGCCUCAAACCCCUGGGCUCAAGUGAUCCUCCCACCCUAGCCACCUGAGUCGUUAGGACUAUAGGUGUGCACCACCACACCCAGCUAGCUUUUUAAAAUUUUUCGUAGAGACCGGGUCUCCCUAUGUCAUCUAGGCUAAUCUCUAACUUCUUAGUGAUCUUUCCGCCUCCGCCUCCCAAAGUGCUGGAAUUACAGGUCUGAGGCACCACACCUGGGUUCCAUGUGCUUUCUGCGCACACUUGGGAGGCUGGUGGGAGACCCUGGAUCCAGAGCUUGGGGAUGAUGCUGGCUCUCUUCUGCCCUGAGGAUCAAGACAGGCACCAGUGCCCAAGGGCACAGCCUGUGCCACCCACUGUGGGUUUGCAGCAGUGCAGAAGCAGGGCUGGGGGGGCCUCUGCAGAUGUGUCUGUCUUAGGCCUCCCCAGGGUGGGCUGUGUGGGCGCUGGGCCAAGCACUUCCCUACCACAAGCUGGUCAGAGUUCAGACCAAGCAGUGUAAGGCACGUCCGCUGGGUGCCAGGCACAGCAGUGCCCCAGGGAGUGGCCCCACUCCCGGCCUGGCUCGUGCCUCCUGGCUCGUGUGGGGAAGCAGAGCAACCGGCUCAGGGCGGGAUGUAGUCAGACCUGGAGCCCUAGUGCUGUGACUGCUGCGCUCCUUCCCAGGCCCUCACCCCUCCUUCUCCACCUAGGAGUCGUUCACGCCUACUGAGGAGCAUGUGUUGGUGGUGCGCCUGCUGCUGAAGCACCUGCAUGCCUUUGCCAACAGCCUGAAGCCAGAGCAGGCUUCGCCCUCUGCCCACUCCCACGCCACCAGUCCCCUGGAGGAGUUCAAACGGGCUGCUGUCCCGAGGUUCGUCCAGCAGAAACUCUACCUAUUCCUGCAGCAUUGCUUUGGCCACUGGCCCCUGGACGCAUCGUUCAGAGCUGUCCUAGAGAUGUGGCUGAGCUACCUGCAGCCAUGGCGGUAUGCGCCUGACAAGCAGGCUCCGGGCAACGACUCCCAGCCCCAGUGUAUGUCGGAGAAAUGGGCACCCUUUGUCCAGGAGAACCUGCUGAUGUACACCAAGUUGUUUGUGGGCUUCCUGAACCGCACACUCCGCACAGACCUGGUCAGCCCCAAGCAUGCGCUCAUGGUGUUCUGAGUGGCCAAAGUCUUUGCCCAGCCCAGCCUGGCUGAGAUGAUUCAGAAAGGUGAGCAGCUAUUCCUGGAGCCAGAGCUGGUCAUUCCCCACCGCCAGCACCGACUCUUCACGGCCACCACCUUCACUGGGAGCUUCCUGUCACCCUGGCCACCCGCAGUCACUGAUGCCUCCUUCAAGGUGAAGAACCACGUCUACAGCCUGGAGGGCCAGGACUGCAAGUACACCCCGAUGUUUGGGCCCGAAGCCCGCACCCUGGUGA